CAGCCGCCACGGUAAUACGUAGGUGGCAAGCGUUGUCCGGAAUUAUUGGGCGUAAAGGGCUCGCAGGCGGUUUCUUAAGUCUGAUGUGAAAGCCCCCGGCUCAACCGGGGAGGGUCAUUGGAAACUUGGAAACUUGAGUGCAGAAGAGGAGAGUGGAAUUCCACGUGUCGCGGUGAAAUGCGUAGAGAUGUGGAGGAACACCAGUGGCGAAGGCGACUCUCUGGUCUGUAACUGACGCUGAGGAGCGAAAGCGUGGGGAGCGAACAGGAUUAGAUACCCCAGUAGUCCCUGUCUCUUAUAC
rnacentral:rRNA from 1 species